rnacentral:rRNA from 1 species
UACGUAGGGUGCGAGCGUUAAUCGGCAUUACUGGGCGUAAAGCGUGCGCAGGCGGUUUGUAAGCCAGAUGUGAAAUCCCCGGGCUCAACCUGGGAACUGCAUUUGGGACUACAGGGCUAGAGUGUGUCAGAGGGGGGUAGAAUUCCACGUGUAGCAGUGAAAUGCGUAGAUAUGUGGAGGAAUACCGAUGGCGAAGGCAGCCCCCUGGGUCGAUACUGACGCUCAUGCACGAAAGCGUGGGGAGCAAACAGG